rnacentral:rRNA from 3 species
CUGAUGCGUUGUUGGGUAGGGGAGCGUUCUGUAAGCCUGCGAAGGUGGCCUGUGAGGGUUGCUGGAGGUAUCAGAAGUGCGAAUGCUGACAUAAGUAACGAUAAAGCGGGUGAAAAGCCCGCUCGCCGGAAGACCAAGGGUUCCUGUCCAACGUUAAUCGGGGCAGGGUGAGUCGACCCCUAAGGCGAGGCCGAAAGGCGUAGUCGAUGGGAAACGGGUUAAUAUUCCCGUACUUGGUGUUACUGCGAAGGGGGGACGGAGAAGGCUAUGUUGGCCGGGCGACGGUUGUCCCGGUUUAAGCGUGUAGGUGUGUGUUCCAGGUAAAUCCGGUUCACUUUAACACUGAGGCGUGAUGACGAGGCACUACGGUGCUGAAGCAACAAAUGCCCUGCUUCCAGGAAAAGCCUCUAAGCAUCAGGUAACAUCAAAUCGUACCCCAAACCGACACAGGUGGUCAGGUAGAGAAUACCAAGGCGCUUGAGAGAACUCGGGUGAAGGAACUAGGCAAAAUGGUGCCGUAACUUCGGGAGAAGGCACGCUGACACGUAGGUGAAGUGAUUUACUCAUGGAGCUGAAGUCAGUCGAAGAUACCAGCUGGCUGCAACUGUUUAUUAAAAACACAGCACUGUGCAAACACGAAAGUGGACGUAUACGGUGUGACGCCUGCCCGGUGCCGGAAGGUUAAUUGAUGGGGUCAGCGCAAGCGAAGCUCCUGAUCGAAGCCCCGGUAAACGGCGGCCGUAACUAUAACGGUCCUAAGGUAGCGAAAUUCCUUGUCGGGUAAGUUCCGACCUGCACGAAUGGCGUAAUGAUGGCCAGGCUGUCUCCACCCGAGACUCAGUGAAAUUGAACUCGCUGUGAAGAUGCAGUGUACCCGCGGCAAGACGGAAAGACCCCGUGAACCUUUACUAUAGCUUGACACUGAACAUUGAGCCUUGAUGUGUAGGAUAGGUGGGAGGCUUUGAAGUGUGGACGCCAGUCUGCAUGGAGCCGGCCUUGAAAUACCACCCUUUAAUGUUUGAUGUUCUAACGUGGACCCGUGAUCCGGGUUGCGGACAGUGUCUGGUGGGUAGUUUGACUGGGGCGGUCUCCUCCUAAAGAGUAACGGAGGAGCACGAAGGUUGGCUAAUCCUGGUCGGACAUCAGGAGGUUAGUGCAAUGGCAUAAGCCAGCUUGACUGCGAGCGUGACGGCGCGAGCAGGUGCGAAAGCAGGUCAUAGUGAUCCGGUGGUUCUGAAUGGAAGGGCCAUCGCUCAACGGAUAAAAGGUACUCCGGGGAUAACAGGCUGAUACCGCCCAAGAGUUCAUAUCGACGGCGGUGUUUGGCACCUCGAUGUCGGCUCAUCACAUCCUGGGGCUGAAGUAGGUCCCAAGGGUAUGGCUGUUCGCCAUUUAAAGUGGUACGCGAGCUGGGUUUAGAACGUCGUGAGACAGUUCGGUCCCUAUCUGCCGUGGGCGCUGGAGAACUGAGGGGGGCUGCUCCUAGUACGAGAGGACCGGAGUGGACGCAUCACUGGUGUUCGGGUUGUCAUGCCAAUGGCACUGCCCGGUAGCUAAAUGCGGAAGAGAUAAGUGCUGAAAGCAUCUAAGCACGAAACUUGCCCCGA